rnacentral:rRNA from 1 species
AGAUUGAACGCUGGCGGCAGGCCUAACACAUGCAAGUCGAGCGGCAGCACGGGUACUUGUACCUGGUGGCGAGCGGCGGACGGGUGAGUAAUGCCUAGGAAGCUGCCUGGUAGUGGGGGAUAACGCUCGGAAACGGACGCUAAUACCGCAUACGUCCUACGGGAGAAAGCAGGGGACCUUCGGGCCUUGCGCUAUCAGAUGAGCCUAGGUCGGAUUAGCUAGUUGGUGAGGUAAUGGCUCACCAAGGCGACGAUCCGUAACUGGUCUGAGAGGAUGAUCAGUCACACUGGAACUGAGACACGGUCCAGACUCCUACGGGAGCAGCAGGUGGGAAUAUUGGACAAUGGGCGAAAGCCUGAUCCAGCCAUGCCGCGUGUGUGAAGAAGGUCUUCGGAUUAGAAAGCUAACGUUUAAGUGGAGGAAGGCAGUAACCUAAUACGUUGACUAACGUUUGAACGUUACCGAACAAGAAACGUUAA